UUGCCGUUAUUUUCCUUCGUCCUUAUUUUCGGCGGCUCGAAACAGUUGUUUAAUUUUGGUUUUCAAAUAGCAAAAACCUACAUUGGAAAUACCGUAAAUAGACAAAGUAUUGGUUUGAAUACAGUUGGCUUUUUAGCAGAUAUGCGGAGGGUAGUGGAUCAUCAUUUGUGUGGCAACGUAGCGUACGACGUUUGAGUAGUGCUCCACUAUAGUCUCCUUUAAACAACUACAAAACGAGGAAACUUAAAAGUAAAAAAUUCGUCAACGGGUCGACAGAAAAUGAAAAUUUCAACACUGUUAAUAUAGUUUGAAAAUCAAAAUUGGGAAGAUAUUUCACCGCCAUA